rnacentral:sRNA from 1 species
UUAGCCGGUAGGCGUUCGGCACGCCCCUC